UCAUUUUAUUUUUAGAUACUUAAUAAUAAAUCCACAAUAUUAUUCACACGGCAAUUAAAUUAAUACUCUAAAUAAAGUUUUAAAUUGACAAAAAAUAAUUAAAAUAACACCUUAAUAUUUACGUAAAUGGUGUCCUUAAACCCAAUUAAGCGUAUUAUGAUUGGUAAAAUAAUUUUACAAACUUAAUAUAAAUAAUAAAAUUAUUUUUUAGUGACAAGUGUUUCAAUAAUGAAGAUUUAAUAAAUUUAAGUUGUCAAAAAUAUUUAAAAGUGACAGUGCGCGUACUUAAAAUCGUUUUUAUAAAAACAAAUACCGAUAAUUAGGCUCCUCCUCGUCGUAACUGUCAUUAAUAGUGUUUUCUUCUUUUAAAUUUGUUUAUUAUUAAAUAAAAUCUCUUCACAACGACGACUAAAAAUAUUAUAUCAAGAACAAUAACAAAAACAACUAUCACAACAAUAAUAACAAUGAAAUAAUAAUAAUAAUUAUUAUAAAUAAAUAAAUAAAAGCAUAUUUAACAAUAAGUUGGGAAAAAUCCUUGACAAGUCCGUCCUGCUGCCGCUGCCACGGUAAAGCUCAGCUAGAUUUUACCUUCGGUCGUCGCGCGGUCGUUAUAUCGAUUGCUUUAGAAAUAGACGCGUGCGAAACACCUGCUCGUGACUCGCACACCGUUGGCCAAGCCACUACGACGACAGGUGUACUACCUUGCUGCUACCACCUUCGGCUGUUACCAUCACAGACAGCUUAUAUAUUAAUAAUAAUAUUGUAAAGACUAUUUUUUAUGUGAAUAAUUUAUUUUAUUGGACUUUUUGGUUAACUGAAGAAAGUUUGAUAAGAAAUAUUGAAGAACAAUUCAAAGAUUGAAGAAGAAAUAAAAAUAUUUUAAGUAUUUUAAAAUAAAAAAUAAUUUAAAAAAAAAGCUGACGACGACGAGGAGGAGUGCGAUAAAAAAUAUCGCGUGCGCGUUUUUAGUUUAUUAUUUUUUUGUUGGGUGGGGAGAUUAUUGGUGCGAAUACAGUUCUGGAGGCGCCUGUCGUCUUCGUUGCCGGUACAACCAUAACGCCGCCCGCCCUAAAACGCCCGAGACGGGAAACGGUGGACUCAUCCCCGCCACCCGCUCCUCGUAUCACCGUCGCAACCGCUGGUUCAACCUGCGGUGGUAAUCCUGCUGGAUCAUCUAACGACUUAUCCUGCAUCAUGGACGCCCCACUGUCACAGAGCAUGGACUCAGUCAACACUGUGGCGUGCUCAAAUGGCGAGGAUGAGGUUCGUACCUUGUUUGUGAGCGGUUUGCCGAUGGACGCCAAACCAAGAGAACUUUACCUUCUCUUUAGAGCAUAUGAGGGUUAUGAAAACUCUCUGCUUAAAGUUACAAGCAAAAAUGGUAAAACAGCAUCGCCGGUGGGUUUUGUAACAUUUCACACUAGGGCAGGUGCGGAAGCAGCUAAACAAGACCUACAGCAGGGGGUUAAAUUUGAUCCUGAUAUGCCACAAACCAUACGUUUGGAAUUUGCAAAAAGUAACACAAAGGUUAGCAAACCCAAGCAACCAGCCGCUGCAGCAGCCACCUCGCACCCCGCUCUGAUGCACCCUCUAACCGGACACAUAGGAAAUCCAUUUUUCCCAAGCGGACCAGAAUUAUGGCAUCAUCCAUUAGCGUACUCAGCUGCGGGUGAACUUCAAGGAACACUUCAACAUGCAACACUUGUUCAUCCAGCAUUACAUCCGCAGGUCCCUGCUCCGAUGUCUUUACCCCACCCAACGACAUUGACGUCAAUACACGCAUCUUUACCACACUUUUUACCAUCACCAGCUCUAGCUUCUCCAGUUGGCUCAUCAUCAUCUCAACCGAGUAUAGCUGUUAGUAAUGCUCCAUGCUCAACUCUCUUUGUUGCAAAUCUUGGACAAUUCGUUUCUGAGCACGAAUUAACCGAGAUCUUUAAUAGUUUUUCUGGUUUCUGUCGGCUUCGUAUGCACACAAAGGGCGGCUCACCUGUGGCCUUUGUCGAAUUUCAAGACGUUCGCUAUGCAGCUCAAGCGAUGGGCGCCCUCCAAGGAUCCUUACUCCUCUCCUCUGACCGGGGACCGAUACGAAUUGAAUAUGCCAAGUCAAAAAUGGCCGAGGUGGGCUUUACAAACCUCUGGAUCGAAGGAUCCAAGGGAGAAAAAAAUGGGCAACCUUAAAAUUGACAUUAAUGGAAUGUGAAGAAUAAAGAGAUUUUUUGGAGCUGAGUAAGGCCACUGAAGAAAUGUAAAGGUAAAAUCUAAAUUGGUGUCUCGUAAAUCAAAGUCGAUUGAAUUCUGUUACUACAGCGCUUAUAGGAAAUUUACAAUUUUUUAACUCUUGUUACGAGAUGUGUGCUAUACGUCUAAAGCUUGGGUGAUAAUUCUUCUUUUUUUAAUUAAUUAAUUGUUUAUUAUCUGCUUAACUGAAACGAUCAAUAAUUAAUUUUAUGCACAUCAAUUUACGUAGAAAAAAAUUUGUUAUUUAAUUAUUUAUUAUUUUCCUAAUUACAGGAAUUUUAUUAAAGCUUUUAGGCGAAAUUGUUAAAUUGUUAACUUCUAGGUAAUUAUUAUUACUUAUAAGAUUAUCAUUAUUAUUAUUAUUAUAUUAAAAAAUAAACCACAACUAUGAUUAUAAAUUAUAAUAAUCAAGCUUGGUUUAAAGAAAAUUUUAUUAAAAAAAUUUCUAUUAUUUCUUCACAAAAAAAUAAAUUUUUUUCAACUAUUUUAAAUGAAUUUUUUUUUACAUAAUAAUAAUAAUGAUAGUCAAAUGAUUCGAAUUAAAUGCUAUUUAAAAGUAUAUGUAUUGUUGCAACUAUAAUUGGGCAUGAAUGAAGUAUAAGUCACAAAAGACUAUUUGAAAAAAAAAUCAUGGAAGUAACAAAAAAAAAAAAAAAAAAAAAAAGAAGAAGAAAUGAAAAAUCUAGCUCUAAGUAAAAAAUCCUUUUACGAACAUCAAGUUUAAUACCAAAGGUGCCCUAAAAAACGUGUAAUUAUGUUUUUUAUCAGCAAAUAUCGUGUUUGACGCGAGGAUAGCUGGCUAUUAUAAAAUUGAAUUUGACAGUGUGUACAUGCGUACGUGAGAAUAAGAAUGAUUAAAGUGAAAAAAAAAAAAAAAAAUCACAAUAACGAAUCAACACUUAAAUGGUGUAUAAAUAAUAAAUUCUCUUAGUAAUGAUAAUGAUAAUGAUAAUGGUGAAAGUAUUGACUCGUUAAUUAUAAAUUAUAUGAAUGAAAACAUAUCAAUAGAAAUUAAGAAGAAAUAUUUAUCAAAGAUAUACGAUAAAUAUUGAUAUAAAGAAGAAAAAAAAAAUGAGUAUGGUAAAACAGCGAAACCAAAAAAUAAUAAAACAUUAAUACUUGAUGGAUAAAUAAAACUAGUGUAUAACUUACAACGUCUGUGUAUUUGUAAUAAAGUAGCAAAGGUGUGCCCCGUGUGCUAGAACGGCCAACUCGGCACGUAAUUUGCCCAAGUGCCUUCCCGUUGGUCGAGUCAUGCUAACUGUACUGUAAGUCACGUCCCGUGUAAUCGUCAAACGCCGUCGCUUGAACCGAAUUAUUCCGACCUCAAUUUUUUCUUAUAUUACUAACUCUUUCUUUUUUUUUUUAUUCAUUUUAUUCCGUUGUAAUUUUUUUAUUUCUUCUUGUCUAGUGUAAUAUUUCUGAUAUAUUUACUUCAAAUUUUUAAUAAUUGUUCACUUAUCGAACCUCUUUUUUAAAAUUUAUUUUAAUUAAUAUAACUGGGCAUUUAUGUAUAUUCUAAUUGUACUAGACAUAUCAGUAAUUAAAGUAUUACAAACGGGAGUGAAAAA
rnacentral:misc_RNA from 1 species